rnacentral:lncRNA from 1 species
AUCGGAUUCUCUAAAUAUCUAUUUGGUCACUCGCCAUUUCAUUUAGCUACUCAAAUUUAUUUUUCACUUGAACAGUCUCCCCUUGUCAUCUCUAUUCUGAGUCCAUGACAGUUAAAACCCACGUGUCAUCCUCUUUUUUUUUUUUCUCUCCACAUAUCUCCCUCAAUGUCUCUCUCCUCUUUCAUUUUCUCUUUCUGUGUGUCAUUAUCUGAAGAAUCAUACUGUAUCUGGAAAUCGUGAGCAAAACCAAAAGAUUGUCCCAAGAAUUGGACUUUGCGACGACAUGAUCCUCCGAUUUCCUCGCCGCAGAAGAACAGCUGCUGCCUUCCGUCCUCUUCCUCCUCGUCAAUCUCAUCCCCGUACCCAAGCUCCACUUCUCCCCGCUACCCCGGCUCGCUACCAUAUCCGGACUCCACCGUGGCCACCUCCGCCGCGGCGCCCACCCCACCAGACCCGGAUCCAACCCCACCAACGGGCGCAGGGCUGAAGUCCGUCGCCAUCGGGAUGGUCGACGCGGCAGCUGGGGACGACACUGGUCGCGGGCGUCAGAGACGGCGCCGGGUGCUGGGCGCGGGCGACAGCGGCGGCCGCGGUGGAGGACGACCCGACGACGACGACGACCCGAGUGCCCGUCGCCGGCCACCUUGGUCUCGCAGACGGGGAGGAUGCAGGCGGCGACGACGAGGC